rnacentral:piRNA from 1 species
UCCGUGAUGUAAACUCAGGUCUGCUGG